CCCUUAGAUGUUCUGGGCCGCACGCGCGCUACAAUGGUCUUCGCAAACGGAUGCAUUCUCGAAGGAGAAUGCCAAUCUUGGAAUCUAUGCCUUGGUCGGGACAGUUGCUUGCAAUUUUUCGACUCGAACCAGGAAUUCCUUGUAAUCGUGAUUCAUCACAUCACGAUGAAUACGUCCCUGCCCUUUGUACACACCGCCCGUCGCUCCUACCGAUCGAAGAGUUUGGUGAAUUGUUUUGAUCGAUAAGAUUUGACUAUGGUCAACUCUCGUUGUGAAAUUCUGUGAAUCUGACUGUUUAGAGGAAGGAAAAGUCGUAACA
rnacentral:rRNA from 1 species